rnacentral:lncRNA from 1 species
AGUUUACUCAAUGAUGAGAUCAUGGCGAAUCGUUCGCGAACCGUUCGGCAAACCGUUCGGGACAUCACUAAUUGUCUUCUAUAUUGAAAACCAAUUCGAGCCAAUUCCACAUAAUCUCUCUUUCCUGCAUGAUUAUCAAUUAUAUGUAUGUUAUUUUUAUCCAUUGUACAAUGCUAUGGCAUAUGGUAGACUAUGUAAAAUAUUAAUGUAUUGUCUUAACUAAAGAAAAAAAAAAACACUUUCAAACUCUUGCAAUUUACAAACAAUUGUAACAACGCUAAUUUUAUCUUCAUUGCAGUAUUUCCAAAUAAUUUGCCUGCCUUUAUUCAUAUAUAUUAAAUUUGACUUUAUUGUUUUGGUAGAUUGAAUUAAUGUCAAAGGAGUAAUUAUAAAGCCACGCAUAUUUUUUUAAUUAUUAUAAUCAUAGCAAUAAGUCACUUUAUAGCCAAAUUUAGUGUAACAGAUGUACCCAUGGUAAUUAUGAAUUUUAUUUGCCCCUUAAGAGACGGAACGCCAAGCAAUGCAAUGAUCUAUGUAUCCCUCUUCACCAUUUAGUAGUUGUAUUCACUAUUAGAAUUAUGGGUAAUUAACCCCUUAAGGACACAACUUCUGGUAUAAAAGGGAAUCAUGAUGGAACAUUUCUGUCAUGUGUCCUUAAGGGGUUAAGUUUUGCUUUAUUUAUUUAUUGAACAGUGAGCUGUAGAAAGUCGACAAACGGCUGGCUAUAUGCAUGUCAAUGUAGCUGACUUUAACCUUUUCCAGUCUAAAUUCAGAAACUCAUCAUAACUCACUAUUUAGCCAAUAAAUUCUUAAGAGCAACUUUCUAUAUUCUAGAAAUUACAUAUAACUGAUAUAAAAGCCCACGACACUGCAUUAUUUAGCAUUUUUUAUUUGAAUACAUUUAUUAACACUGUAUUGAAAAACUUACAUGAUAUAAUUUCCUGUUGUGAACAGGCUGGUAUUCAAGGAUGUAUGUUUUGGUGUUCAAAAUGUUUGUAAAAAACGGUCUAAAAUGUAUAUAGUGAUUUUUAUUUUUACGGUUCUUGUAGAUAUUAAAUGGCAAUCAUGGUUUGUUUUGUUUUUUGUUAUUUUUUUUGCAUCUAAUAUUGAAAAUGUUACUGGCCACAUAAUAAAUUAAAAGGCGAAAUUGAAAUUAGAAUUUUUGCAUAAAAAAUUGUAUGUGUAAUUGUGUUAAAUAUACUGUACAUUUUUUUUGGGUGCGGGGGGAUUUUUCAGUUAACUUCUGUUUUUAAGGAUUUUUUAUGAAUGUGAUUUGCACAGUUCCUUUUAAAAUGUAUAAUGUUUCAAAAUUCCAACGUUGCUAUGUCUCUAGUAAUGAGACAAUAAUUAUGCAAACGGAAAGGUGGAUUGGACUAAUUGUAGAACAUCACCCAAAGAAUGAUGGUUCUCGUAUGUAUUUUCCGAUUGACAGUAUUACACAUUUUAUUUCUUGUUCUUUUUUUUUUCCUUACAAAAAAAGAAGUGUAUAGGUUUGUAAACUGUCAGAAUUUGAUAAACUUAAUGGUUAACAAAUUUACAAAAAAUAUGUGUUUUGUAUUUAUUUUACCAG